rnacentral:rRNA from 1 species
AUUGAACGCUGGCGGCAUGCUUUACACAUGCAAGUCGAACGGCAGCACGGGUGCUUGCACCUGGUGGCGAGUGGCGGACGGGGUGAGUAAUACAUCGGAACGUAUCCUAAAGUGGGGGAUAACGCAUCGAAAGAUGUGCUAAUACCGCAUACACUCUGAGGAGGAAAGUAGGGGGAUCGAAAGACCUUAUGCUUUUGGAGCGGCCGAUGUCUGAUUAGCUAGUUGGUAAGGUAAUGGCUUACCAAGGCAACGAUCAGUAGUUGGUCUGAGAGGACGACCAGCCACACUGGGACUGAGACACGGGCCCCAGACUCCUACGGGAGGCAGCAGUGGGGAAUUUUGGACAAUGGGCGCAAGCCUGAUCCAGCAAUGCCGCGUGAGUG